UGGGGAAUAUUGCACAAUGGGCNAAAGCCUGAUGCAGCAACGCCGCGUGAGUGAUGAAGGCCUUCGGGUUGUAAAGCUCUGUCUUUUGGGACGAUAAUGACGGUACCAAAGGAGGAAGCCACGGCUAACUACGUGCCAGCAGCCGCGGUAAUACGUAGGUGGCAAGCGUUGUCCGGAUUUACUGGGCGUAAAGGAUGCGUAGGCGGAUUUUUAAGUGAGAUGUGAAAACCCUAAGCUUAAACUUGGGGACUGCAUUUUCAAUACUGGGAAAAUCUAGAGUGCGGGAGAGGAGAAUGGAAUUCCUAGUGUAGCGGUGAAAAUGCGUAGAGAUUAGGAAGAACACCAGUGGCGAAGACGAUUCUCUGGACCGUAACUGACGCUGAGGCAUGAAAAGCGUGGGUAGCAAAACAGGAUUANAUACCCUGGUAGUCCACGCCGU
rnacentral:rRNA from 1 species